GGGUCUGUUUGAUUGGUCGUGGGAAAUAUUCCCACGCUAAACAUUACCCUCAAAAUUCCCCGAUGUCUGUUUGAUUGGUUAAGUUGGACCAGGUAAAAAUUUCAGGAUAAAAAUAUUUCUCGCGAAACUUUCCCUGACCCACCCCUAAAAAAAAUUCCCAGACUCCUGGGGUUUUUUGCGUUCUCUUCCUUGCCGCUUUUCUCUUCUCCCUUUUCUCUUCUCUUUCUCGCUUCACUACUGUUUCUCUCUUUCCUCCGUCAUUCACAAGCUCGACCACCUCUCUCCUCCAUCAUUCACAAGCAGGGAUUUCAUCAAGGUAAUCUAUCUCUCUCUCUCUCUCUCUCUCUCUCUCUCUCUCUCUCUCUCUCUCUCUCUCUCUCUCUCUCUCUCUCUCUCUCUCCUCUCUCUCCUCUCUCUCUCUCUCUCUCUCUCUCUCAAUUUCUGUUAAUUUCUUCAGCACUCGGAAAGCAAGCAAUCAAUCUUAACAAGGGUAAGAAGAAUACCACUUUUGUUUACGAGAUUGCAAUUACACCAUUAUCUUGCUUUCCCCAAACUCCCCCCUCUUUGUUUUCAAUCAAAACACCUUUCGAUCUAAUUUGAUUAAAAAUAUAUAUGUUUUUUUUUUCACAUAAAUCUGAACUGUGUUUUCUCCUUAUGUUCACAAUUGUAUUAAUUUUUGUUUUAUAUAUCUUGACGAUUAAGAGUAGUGAAACUGAAUGACAUUGGGAAGAAAGAAAUUGGGGAUAACAUUGUCAGACAAGGAUCAUAGAACAAUGGUAUUGAUAUGUAAUAAAUAAGGACAAUAGAGUUAUCCCCAAGUUGUAUAUAUUUUCAUCAAAUGGUAGUCAGCUAAAGCUAUUUCUAUUAGGGUAUGUUCAAUGUAUUAAUGGGGACCAACUUUAGAUACAGAUACUAUGGACAAUAAGAUGCCUUCUCCAAAGCCUCUGAGUAGGAAAUUAAAGCCCUUUGAACUGACAGUAUGAGACUCGAUUAUUCAAUACGGAAGAGGGCAUUCACAUCUCACACCUCCAGUUUAGGAAGAUGCCGCAGUUUCUCAUGGUAAUGCUGUGGAGCAGUUGAAAAGCGGUUUGGGUCCCUUGGCUUGUUUUGAGGUGUUCUCUGCUUUGUAGGUAUUUUCAUCAACAAGAAGUGUUUAGUGUGACAACCAGGUCUUCAUAGCCAAAAUCUGAGAGGACUGGCACAUUUUUCAAAUUAGGCGUCUCUUUUAAAGGAGAAUAUAGAUUUGAAUUGGUCAGAACUCAUUGGGUGCUUAGGAGAAGAAGUGAGGAAUGUGGACUCCAAAGAUAUCAAAAAUUUUGAUUUUGUGUCCUCAUAUAUAGGAUUUCAUGGUCCCCUGCUCCUGUUGAUUUGGCUAAUUGAUAGGGUGACAUUUUCAGGAGCAUUCACUUGACACAAAUGAUGUAGGACAGAGUCUCUGGUUUAGGAAAGUAGUUGGACUGUACAUGGGAUGAUGGAAGCUGGUUGUGGUACCUAGCAUAUGGAAAAAAAUUGUGUCUGGUUUAGGAAAGUAAUAUUGUCUGCCCUAUAGGAGUGUCAUUAUAUAAGUUAUUGAAGAUUGGAAGUGUAUAUGUGAUAAUGUAAAAGAUUGCUUCAGGAGAGCACAAAACUAUAAAAGAUUGCCACAAGACGGGUAAUAUGUUCAAGUUGUGUUUGAAUUUAAAUCGAGUUUGUUCUCCAACUCUCCAUUUUAAUUUUUUGAAAAUGGGUUAUUGAUAGAUCUGGUAAUGAGAUUGAUUUGAAGAUUUAAAAAGUAAAAGGGGUUAUUAAUUUUAAACUUGAAUUUGAACGUUUCAAGUUUUGUAUAUCAAAUCUUCUCUAAUGAAUCUCUCUUUGUUUGUUAAUGGGGUUUUAGGUUAAGCUGGCUAAGGAAAAAAAAAAGUCGAAAGGAGAAGCCAGAAGGUAUGUAUUUUUUAUUUGUGAAUUGUUUAUUGAUCUUCACCACCACAAAUUUAAAAUGCAAUACUUAUUUGGUUUAACACAUUCUAAACGUAUCGAUAUCCUAAUGGUACUAUUGGUGUCGAAAAACAAGUAGUCCUUAUCGUCGUGCUAAACAAGUAGUCUUUUGUGUAUAAUUUUGCAUACUUGCUCGCCUCAUAGCAACACCAAGUCAUCAACCUAUUUUACAGCUCCCUUACAUGCUCCCAAAUUCUUUGGAAUGCUUUCUAUGUAUUAAAAAGUUAUGUUCCAAAAAUUAACAACAUUAAUCAGAUUUUUCCUGUUGAUUACAAAAUUAUUGUGCAAACUGUUUAUCACAAGUUAUGUUACAGGAAUGUGAUUGAGUUAAAGGUUAGUUCAUGAGGUUUUGAUCAAAUUUUAAUUAAUCUUAGUUAGAAUUUAGAAAUUUAAGGAGUCAUGGGAUUAUGGCUCAGAGAGAGACAUAAAGAUAGUACAUUGUUUGUUCAGUUGUAGUGUACAUGAUGUUUUGAUCGAAAAUCUCCCAAGAAUUCAGCAAUAAUCUGAUCAAAUUAAUUCAAAGGAAAUGGUCUUGGAUGUCUCAUUUGUCAUUUAUUGUAUUCACGUGUGACCAAGAAUUCAACAAUAAUCUGAUCAAAUUCAUUCAUUCAUGUUAUGACUAUGUACAUCAAUGAUCAAUCAUCAGUACACAUUAAUUGCUCUAAGAUCAAUUAUAACAUUAAGAAAAGUAUAGUAUAUAUUCUCAGAGAAUGUAACCUUUUAACAAAAUUAAUGAAGGUGUUUUGUUUACUUGUAGGCAAAUCCUAAUUUAAGAGGGCAUCGCUCAAGGCCCGUACCUUAUUAUGAUGAUUUGGACAUCUUAUAUAAAGAAGAAAAGGUCACAGGACUUCGUAGCUAUGAAGGAUCUGAGGUCUCUACCCACUCUAACAAUUCUGAGCACGGUGAGUAAACAUUUUCAUUGAUAUGUUAUAUUUUUUGUCUGCAACUUGUUCUUCAAGGUAAUUAAGUCAACAAAAAUUUCAUGUGAGCUAUUUUGCUAUUAGUUGAAGCUAUGCCCAUGAUCAGUAUUCAACAUCCAUUCGUCACAAGUCAAGAAAUUAACAUACAGUGAUACCAGAUUAUGUGCUAACGAAUUGAAUUUUGUUCAAGUUUUGACCCCCAUAGUUUAAGAAAUAGUGGCCCCAUGCAUUGUACAAAUACAUAAAUUUGAUGUUUUCUCCUUGUUUGGAAUUUAUAGAUAUUCACCGCAAGGAUGUGGAGGUUACUAGUGCAGAUGUUGUGACACCUAAUGAGAGGCGUAAAAGGAAACGUUGGGCAAGAGAGGACAAUGAAGAGAGAGUUUUGAUGAUGGGGAUGGUUGAGGCCGCAAAAGAGGUAGUUG
rnacentral:lncRNA from 1 species